rnacentral:rRNA from 1 species
UACGUAGGGAGCAAGCGUUGUCCGGAUUUAUUGGGCGUAAAGAGCUCGUAGGCGGUUUGUCGCGUCUGCCGUGAAAGUCCGGGGCUCAACUCCGGAUCUGCGGUGGGUACGGGCAGACUAGAGUGAUGUAGGGGAGACUGGAAUUCCUGGUGUAGCGGUGAAAUGCGCAGAUAUCAGGAGGAACACCGGUGGCGAAGGCGGGUCUCUGGGCCGAUACUGACGCUGAGGAGCGAAAGCGUGGGGAGCGAACAGG